rnacentral:lncRNA from 1 species
CAAAUCAGACAAACAGAAGGCACUUGCUUUUUACAAUGGCAAAGAAAAUAAUGGUCUUAAAAUAGCCCUUAUUUUCACCUUAAUCACACAAAUGUCUUUAUGUUCCAACAAGAAACUCCUAUUUUAAAUAUUUUUAUAGUAGUGAGAGCAUCAUUCUCCUAUGAUGGUAUGACCCCCCCUGCCCCUUGUCCAAAAUGGGUUUGGUAGUUCACUAGUUCUGGGCCAUCAUCUUUUUCACGAGUGGCUAGAUCUACGCAGAUCUCUCACCCAC